CCUACGGGUGGCAGCAGUGGGGAAUAUUGGACAAUGGGGGGAACCCUGAUCCAGCCAUGCCGCGUGUGUGAAGAAGGCCCUCGGGUUGUAAAGCACUUUCAGUGAGGAAGAACGCCUGGUGGUUAAUACCCAUCAGGAAAGACAUCACUCACAGAAGAAGCACCGGCUAACUCCGUGCCAGCAGCCGCGGUAAUACGGAGGGUGCGAGCGUUAAUCGGAAUUACUGGGCGUAAAGCGCGCGUAGGUGGCUUGAUAAGCCGGUUGUGAAAGCCCCGGGCUCAACCUGGGAACGGCAGCCGGAACUGUCAAGCUAGAGUGCAGGAGAGGAAGGUAGAAUUCCCGGUGUAGCGGUGAAAUGCGUAGAGAUCGGGAGGAAUACCAGUGGCGAAGGCGGCCUUCUGGACUGACACUGACACUGAGGUGCGAAAGCGUGGGUAGCAAACAGGAUUAGAUACCCUAGUAGUC
rnacentral:rRNA from 1 species